rnacentral:rRNA from 1 species
GACGAACGCUGGCGGCGUGCUUAACACAUGCAAGUCGAACGGAAAGGCCCUGCUUUUGUGGGGUGCUCGAGUGGCGAACGGGUGAGUAAAACGUGAGUAACCUGCCCUUGACUUUGGGAUAACUUCAGGAAACUGGGGCUAAUACCGGAUAGGAGCUCCUGCUGCAUGGUGGUGGUUGGAAAGUUUCGGCGGUUGGGGAUGUACUCGCGGCUUAUCAGCUUGUUGGUGGGGUAGUGGCUUACCAAGGCUUUGACGGGUAGCCGGCCUGAGAGGGUGACCGGCGACAUUGGGACUGAGAUACGGCCCAGACUCCUACGGGAGGCAGCAGUGGGGAAUAUUGCACAAUGGGCGGAAGCCUGAUGCAGCAACGCCGCGUGCGGGAUGACGGCCUUCUGGUUGUAAACCGAUUUCGCCUGUGACGAAGCGUGAGUGACGGUAAUGGGUAAAGAAGCACCGGCUAACUACGUG